UACGGGGGGAGCAAGCGUUGUUCGGAUUUACUGGGCGUAAAGGGCGCGUAGGCGGUCAGCACAAGUCAGUUGUGAGAUCUCCGGGCUUAACUCGGAAAGGUCAACUGAUACUGUGCGACUAGAGUGCGGAAGGGGCAACUGGAAUUCUCGGUGUAGCGGUGAAAUGCGUAGAUAUCGAGAGGAACACCUGCGGCGAAGGCGGGUUGCUGGGCCGACACUGACGCUGAUGCGCGAAAGCCAGGGGAGCGAACGGG
rnacentral:rRNA from 1 species